rnacentral:rRNA from 1 species
UAGUAACUGCGAGUGAAGCGGGAAAAGCUCAAAUUUAAAAUCUGGCAGUCUUCGAUUGUCCGAGUUGUAAUCUAGAGAAGCAUUAUCCGCGCUGGACCGUGUACAAGUCUCCUGGAAUGGAGCGUCAUAGAGGGUGAGAAUCCCGUCUUUGACACGGACUGCCAGGGCUUUGUGAUGUGCUCUCAAAGAGUCGAGUUGUUUGGGAAUGCAGCUCAAAAUGGGUGGUAAAUUCCAUCUAAAGCUAAAUAUUGGCGAGAGACCGAUAGCGAACAAGUACCGUGAGGGAAAGAUGAAAAGAACUUUGGAAAGAGAGUUAAACAGUACGUGAAAUUGCUGAAAGGGAAACGCUUGAAGUCAGUCACGUUGUCCGGGAAUCAACCUUGCUUUUGCUGGGCGUACUUCCUGGUCAACGGGUCAGCAUCAAUUUUGACCGUUGGAUAAAGUUGCUGGGAAUGUGGCAUCUUCGGAUGUGUUAUAGCCCAGUUUCGCAUACAACGGUUGGGAUUGAGGAACUCAGCACGCCGCAAGGCCGGGUUUUUAACCACGUUCGUGCUUAGGAUGCUGGCAUAAUGGCUUUAAUCGACCCGUCUUGAAACACGGACCAAGGAGUCUAACAUGCCUGCGAGUGUUUGGGUGGAAAACCCGAGCGCGUAAUGAAAGUGAAAGUUGAGAUCCCUGUCGUGGGGAGCAUCGACGCCCGGACUUGAAC